CAGGCCUGCAGCGACCUGUGGGGCAAAACCCAGAGCAGAGGUGGGGCCAUUCAGCACCACUUUCCCACCCAGCUGAGAGCUGGCAGACCACACCAGGCACCACCACCAGGCUUCCUGCAGGGCAAUGCAGGCACCAAGAGAAGAACCCCAGCGGUGGACACAUCUCACUCAUUUUAAAGCUCUAAACAGAAGUCGUUGUUUAAUCUCCCAUUGAAGUUGGAUUAUCUCUGCUUCUGCUAAUAAAAGCUGUCAUUUAUGGAGCACUUACACCAGCAACAUUUUAUCAAAGGGAAUAUGAUGUUCCUCAUGUUGAAGGGGCUGUGCACUCAUCUGGCCACUCUGGUCCUCUUGAAAGGCUUUGCUGGUUGACUCACACUCCGCGGGUUUCCUCCUGAACGGCACACAUUUUGGCGGCUCCCCUCCCCUCCUCACCCUCUGGGUGCUGGAUGCCCAGGGCUCCCUCCCAGCCUUCCUUCCAUCCCGGCCCUCACUCCCUGCCUUGGUGUUCUGGCUCACUUGUACCCAUAGCUCUAUGGACCCUCUCCCCCAGCCUCUCAGCCUCCCUCUCCAGUCUGGACUCAAGAUUGG
rnacentral:lncRNA from 10 species